rnacentral:rRNA from 1 species
UUCGCAAUGCCCGAAAGGGUGACGAAGCGACGCCGCGUGUGGGAAGAAGGCCUUCGGGUUGUAAACCACUGUCGGGAGUUAAGAAAUGCAAGGGUGCUAAUAGUAUCCUUGCUUGACUAAGGCUCCGGAGGAAGCCACGGCUAACUCUGUGCCAGCAGCCGCGGUAAUACAGAGGCGGCAAGCGUUGUUCGGAAUUAUUGGGCGUAAAGAGCACGUAGGCGGCUAUGUAAGUCGGUUGUGAAAGCCUUCCGCUCAACGGAAGAACAGCAUCCGAUACUGCAUGGCUUGAGUGCGGGAGGGGAGAGUAGAACUUCUGGUGGAGCGGUGAAAUGCGUAGAUAUCAGAAGGAACGCCGGCGGCGAAAGCGGCUCUCUGGCCCAUAACUGACGCUGAGUGUGCGAAAGCUAGGGGAGCAAACGGGAUUAGAUACCCCGGUAGUCCUAGCCGUAAACGAUGGGCACUAAGUAGAGGGGUUUU